ACCUUAGAACUGAUGGAAAUACUGGCGGGGUUGAAGAUUGGGGGGGAUUUUGGAACUUUUGGUGGAGCAGUGAAAUGCGUUGAUAUCAAAAGGAACACCGAUGGCGAAGGCAAAAAUCUAACCAAUCCUUGACGCUGAGGCACGAAAGCUUGGGGAGCGAAGCAGAUUAGAGACCUGCGUAGUCCAAGCUGUAAACUAUGCCUGCUUGAUUGUCGUCGCAAGACAACAGUCGUAAGCUAACGCGUUAAGCAGGCCGCCUGGGGAGUACGAACGCAAGUUUAAAACUUAAAGGAAUUGACGGGGAUCUGCACAAGCGGUGGAGCGUGUGGUUUAAUUCGAGACAAAACGAAGAACCUCACCAGGGUUUGACAUGAUAGAAGUAGACGGUGGAAACACCAACCAUCUGUUAAGUCAGAAACUACCAAAGCUGCUG
rnacentral:rRNA from 1 species